rnacentral:misc_RNA from 1 species
UGGGCUAGACAACGGCGGACCGUCCUAGAAAUAGGAUUUUCCCUUCGGGGACUGCCGGUUCAGGUGCUGCAUGGCUGUCGUCAGCUCGUGCCGUGAGGUGUUGGGUUAAGUCCCGCAACGAGCGCAACCCUCGUCCUUAGUUGCCACCAUUCAGUUGGGCACUCUAGGGAGACUGCCGGCGUUAAGCCGGAGGAAGGUGGGGAUGACGUUCGUCUGAC